rnacentral:lncRNA from 1 species
GUUAAUUCAAUACACGCAUUCGACUUCCAAGAGGGUUCGAAGGUGUGAUGAGGAUUCAAGACGAAUUUUUCUUGAAAUGGCAGUCACCUUAUUUUUUUGUUUUGUUGAGGGUUUUGGUGACCUCUUUUUGUUUUUCUUUGUCCCUUAUUUUGCCUGGACCGCUUCUUUGAAGCUUUCGGUCCAUCGGGAUGCCCUGACUUUUGCCUAAGUCAUUUUUGUGGUGUUUGACUUAGCGGACUUUUAUUUUUUAUUUUUUAAAGGUAUUGACUGCCACAUUAUUGGUGGAUAAGGAUCAACCAACACUAAUUUUAGCUUUUCUUAACUUCUUCAACACUUCAACAUGUGUGCGAAGGAUAACACGUGGUUGAACCUAAUUGGAGGGUGUUCAUAUGGACGAUUUUUGAAAGAUCGAAUACAUGAUCAAAAUAUCUGAACAC